rnacentral:rRNA from 1 species
AUGCACGCUGGCGGCGUGCCUAAUACCUGCACGUCGAGCGAACGGACGAGAAGCUUGCUUCUCUGAUGUUAGCGGCGGACGGGUGAGUAACACGUGGAUAACCUACCUAUAAGACUGGGAUAACUUCGGGAAACCGUAGCUAAUACCGGAUAAUAUUUUGAACCGCAUGGUUCAAAAGUGAAAGACGGUCUUGCUGUCACUUAUAGAUGGAUCCGCGCUGCAUUAGCUAGUUGGUAAGGUAACGGCUUACCAAGGCAACGAUGCAUAGCCGACCUGAGAGGGUGAUCGGCCACACUGGAACUGAGACACGGUCCAGACUCCUACGGGAGGCAGCAGUAGGGAAUCUUCCGCAAUGGGCGAAAGCCUGACGGAGCAACGCCGCGUGAGUGAUGAAGGUCUUCGGAUCGUAAAACUCUGUUAUUAGGGAAGAACAUAUGUGUAAGUAACUGUGCACAUCUUGACGGUACCUAAUCAGAAAGCCACGGCUAACUACGUG